UUUUUAGGAAAUUUGCAGGUGUGAUAGGAAUAGAGAGUAUUAGCCACCAAUUAUAUCAGUUAAAAAAUUAUCAGUUUUUCAAUGCAAUUAGUUUUGCUCAAGUACUCAGCAUUGAGGUUUCAAAGUAUGAGGGUCAUUUCGUGGCAAUUGACGGGCUUGGAGGAUGGAGGACAAGUGGGAUACGGACAGUUUUUGCAAAUUUCGAGAAAUAAAUGUUUAAGUUCAACAUUACAUGGAGCCUUAUGGCUGAAAAAAAGUUCAAACUCUUAUUUGAUGCUUAAAUAAGAUUUCAGUCAAGAAUUUUUUGCUUGUCAUCAUAGUUUAAGACCUAGUAUUAGUUGAAAUUAUGAAUAUCUCAAUUUUUCAAAAACUACUCUUAUGCGCCUUUGUCGUUCAAGUUCCUCAAUUCAACCAAUAAAUUUUCAUGACCACCCUAGAUUUGAUGGUACUUGGUAGGCAUUGUGAACCAUAUAAUGGUUAGAAUCGUAACCUUUCAAUUUUUCUGACCAAUAGAACCGCAGUUACGGGGGCUUGAAGAUGGUAAAACUUGGGUCCUAAGUAAGCUACAGGGCUCAACUUGGCUUGUUUCAGAAGCUCUUUAUCUGCUUUAUCCCAAAAGAUUGAUGAAUGUUGUCAUUUUUCUAAGGAAGGGAUACGAUACCAGUACCCAUCCCGCCUGAUUAAAAUGUUUGCUGUAGCAAAAACACCCCCCUUCAAUUUUUGUAAAAUUUAUGAAUGUUGUUAAUAACAUUGUUACGUAUGCUUUCCAGUCCUGUUGCUAGUCGCCUUGAAGAAGAAGGUCGAUGAUGUAGAGUAGAUGAAGCUGACUCUGAAAUGCCCGUUCCACAAUUGAAGCUGAGUGCUGAUGGGAAAAUUAUUCUUGAUCCCAAAAGUCUGGUUGUUCAAACAUCAGCUGAGAAAAGUCUGAAAGCCUUGGAAAAUUCAUCUGUCAUCGAGGAAGAUGGAACAAUCAUAAAUCGUUUUAGUAAAGCGAAAAAAGAAGUACCACUUCUGGACACCUUUAGAAACUUUGCGAUUUUACCGUGCAUUGAACACAAUCGGAACGGAUUUCUCUCUCAUGCAGUCAAUAUUUCCGGAGAGGACCCGCCAUGAUCUGAAGAGGAAAUUCAAAAAGAAGAGAGAGAACCAACAGGGAAUGUUAGACAAGGCAUUAUCUGCAUCGGCAGAAUUUGAUGUUGACAUGCUUGAGCAAGAUAUAAUAAGUAAGUGCUGCAAUCAAUAUUAUAAAUUCAAUACGAUCUCUUAAUACAUAAACGAUUUCGUCUAAAUUUUGCCUUGAAAAAUUGAAUAAUUGAGCAUGAAAAUACACCAGUUUUUUUUUUUCUUUUUUUUUUAAUUCUUUUUUUACCAAUCUAAUUUUUAAGGUUUGUCAGGAUUGCUAGGAUCCUCCUAAAAGAUGAUACAUCGAUUUAAUUUUGGGCCUUCAAAGUGUUUGUAAGUAAGUACUUGUCCUUUGGCACCAAAAAGCUUUUUCUUAUAUUAAUCUCUUCACUUACUGUGCAGUUUUUUGUAGCUCCUGAAUAGUUUCAUUUUCCAGUUGGCGUGUUUUCAUUCUCACUUAUUCAAAUUCAAUUAAGAUUUAAUGAUCUUUCAUAUGAGAAUAUUUACUUAAAUCGGCUACAUCGCCAAUAUUUGCUGUAUGAUUGAAACUCUCUCUCCCUUGAAGAGAAAAUCGAAAGGCAUUGGAAAGAGAAAACAUCCUGCAUAUUUUUCAUGGCUCCCACUCAUUUCGAUUAUAAAAUCAAAAUUUAUCUUUAAAGGUUUUGAGAAUGUCACCAGUGCAUAUUCUGUUCUUAUUGGGGCUGGAGAAAGAAUAGAUUUGUUGUACUCGGAGAGAGAAUAUAUAUAUCAGAGAUAUUGAUUAAAAAAGGAAUUUUUCAAGGGUAAAGUCACAAUAACCAUAUCAGAAAAUCGGAAAUUUCCUCUUUAACCCAAAAUUUGCAUAGAGUUUGCAAUGUCCUGCGUCUGCGAACACUUUAAUUUGUUGUAGGUAACUGCAUUUACCCAAAAAGAGGUUUCUGAUAACUUAAUCUAAAUAUACAAACAAUUUUACAAACUCUUCUUAAUCUGUCUCAAACGUAAUUUGUGUUGUUCCAAAGCAUUUGUUAUCUUCUUUAAUUUAAAAAAAAAACAGCAAAAACAAAUGCUUUGGAACAACAAAAAUCACGUUUGAGACAGAUUAAGAAGAGUUUCAUAUUUAGGUCAGGUGAUCUUACUUCUCUCUCUGAGUAAACCUGCCAACAACAACAACAAAAAAAGUGUCUGUGGGCUCGAGAAAUUUGAUAAUGUAGGGUUCCGACUAUCCGAAUCAUGUUGAGGAGUGAAUUUCAGACUUGUUGACAUGGUCAUUGUGACUUUUGGGUAGUUUU
rnacentral:lncRNA from 1 species